GUGCUUAACACAUGCAAGUCGAACGUGAAAGGCCCUUUCGGGGGUACUCGAGUGGCGAACGGGUGAGUAACACGUGGGUGAUCUGCCCUGCACUUUGGGAUAAGCCUGGGAAACUGGGUCUAAUACCGAAUACACCUUGCUGGCUGCAUGGCCUGGUGGGGGAAAGCUUUUGCGGUGUGGGAUGGGCCCGCGGCCUAUCAGCUUGUUGGUGGGGUGAUGGCCUACCAAGGCGACGACGGGUAGCCGGCCUGAGAGGGUGUCCGGCCACACUGGGACUGAGAUACGGCCCAGACUCCUACGGGAGGCAGCAGUGGGGAAUAUUGCACAAUGGGCGCAAGCCUGAUGCAGCGACGCCGCGUGAGGGAUGACGGCCUUCGGGUUGUAAACCUCUUUCAGUAUCGACGAAGCGCAAGUGACGGUAGGUACAGAAGAAGCACCGGCCAACUACGUGCCAGCAGCCGCGGUAAUACGUAGGGUGCGAGCGUUGUCCGGAAUUACUGGGCGUAAAGAGCUCGUAGGUGGUUUGUCGCGUUGUUCGUGAAAACUCACAGCUCAACUGUGGGCGUGCGGGCGAUACGGGCAGACUGGAGUACUGCAGGGGGAGACUGGAAUUCCUGGUGUAGCGGUGAAAUGCGCAGAUAUCAGGAGGAACACCGGGUGGCGAAGGCGGGUUUCUGGC
rnacentral:rRNA from 1 species